rnacentral:rRNA from 1 species
UACGGAAUGUGCAAACGUUAUUCGGAAUCACUGGGCUUAAAGAGUCUGUAGGCGGUUUGUUAGGUGAGGUGUGAAAUCCCUCGGCCCAACCGAGGAAUUGCGCUUCAAACCGGCGAGCUAGAGGAGGAUGGAGGUGGGCGGAACUGAUGGUGGAGCGGUGAAAUGCGUUGAUAUCAUCAGGAACACCGGAGGCGAAAGCGGUCCACUGGGUCCUUUCUAACGCUGAUGGACGAAAGCUAGGGGAGCGAACGGG